ensembl:lncRNA
UCCCAGGAGGUCACCAUAUUAAUGCCAAAUUUAGUGCAGACACCCAGUCAGCAUAGUGCACUACAGCUCAGAACUUCUGGACUCAAGGGAUCCUUCUGCCUCAGCCUCCCUAGUAGCUGGGACUACAGACAUGCACCACCACCAUGCCCGGCUAAUUUUUGUAUUUUUAAUAGAGACAGGGUUUCACCAUAUUGGUCAGGCUGGUCUCAAAUUGCUGACCUCAGGUGAUCUGCCGGCUUUGGCCUCUCAAAGUGCUGGGAUUACAGGCGUGAGCCACCAUGCUCGGCCCAAAGAGCAUAAUUUUUAAGAUGGCUCUUGAUAAUAUUACCAAAUUAAGCUCCCGCUGAUGAUUUCUAGUACAGUCAACAGGUCAUUUUACACACUGACUUUGACAUAAACUGAUUCCUUUACAUAGUGUACUGUCAGUAACAGCCAGUCUCUUUUUGGCAUUAAAGACUACCUAUGAAGGGGUAAAUUUCUGCUGCUGCUUCAGAGCUUCUAAAAGUGUUCUGAUUUUCUAGUUCUUUUGCUCAGCCCUGAAACUGCCUCCUCAAAUCCUUCUGAAAGUACCCAUUUAGCUGCUGCUACUUACUUUUCUGUUAGAUUACUUUCCUGUGGAAUAUACAUAAAAGUUAUUGACAAAAGGUAGGGUAAAGACAAUUAGAAAGCAUGAAGACAAUAAAGAUCCAAAAUAAAGACAAUUAUACAGCAUAAAGACAAUAAAGAUCCAAAGCUAAAAUUUCUAGGCACUUAUGUGUGCACAUACAAAUAUGUAUAUAAUUUUAAAGAAAUGAGUUCAAUGAUAUUAAUGCUUUUUUUUUUUAAAGAGACAGGGUCUUACUCUGUUACCCAGUCUGGAGUGCAGUGGUGUGCUCAUAGGUCAGUGUAACCUCUAACUCCUGACCUCAAGUGAUCCUCCCACCUUGGCCUCACAAAAUAUCUGGAUUACAGGUGUGGACCACCAUGCCAGGCCAGUACUAUAGAAGGCCAAGUGAUCUAGUAUAAAGAGGCUGCACUGAAAGACUCUGGUAUAAAUCUCAUCUCAACUCUGUCAUCUACUAAUCAUGUGACCUAGAGCAAUAUACUUUAUCCAAAGACUCAUUUUUUUCUCUUCAUUUAUUAAUAUAAGGGAUUUUUUAAAUAAAUGAAGAGAAAAAAUGAGUCUAAAAAUGCCUGUCUUUUGGGAUUUUGAGGGAAGAUUGAACAGGCACUCCAUAAAUAUAAGCUUAUUUUCCCUUCCUGUUAUUUUUUUUGAGUCGGGGUCUUGCUCUGUUGCCCAGGCUGGAGUGCAAUGGUACAAUCUCCACUCAAUGCAACCUCCACCUCCCAGGUUCAAGUGAUUCUCCUGCCUCAGCCUCCUGAGUAGCUGGGACCACAGGCAUGUGCCACCAUGCCCAGCUAAUUUUUGUAUUUUUAGUAGAGACGAGGUUGCACCAUGUUGGCCAAGCUGGUCAAGAUCUCCUGACCUCAAGUUGUCUGCCUGUCUUGGCCUCCCAAAGUGCUAGGAUUAUAGGCAUGAGAUUACAGGAGCCACUGUGCCUGGCCCUUUCCUGUUACUCCUCUCUUUGACUGUCAUAUUGGAGGGCUUUCCUAAGUCUCAUUACUAAACAACUUUUCCAUUUCAUCAUAUCAGACUGCAAGUAUCUGGAGCACAGAGACCAUAUUUUAUAACAUUUUAAAGAUAAGAUUUAAGUUUUUAGGUUUUUUUCCCUUUUUACAGGGUUUCACUCCCAUUGCCCAGCUUGGAGUGUAGUGGCACAAUCUUGGCUCACUGUAGCCUUGACUUCCUGGGCUCAAGUGAUCCUCCCAACUCAGCGUGCUGAGUAGCUGGGCCUACAGGCAUGCACCACCAUGCCUGCCUAACUUCUGGGCUCAAGCAAUUUGCCCACCUUGGCCCCCCAAAGUGCUGGGAUUAUAGGCAUGAACCACCAAGCCCAGCCCAUUUAGUAUACGUUAAGUUUAAUAUAUAUGUAUGGCUGGGUGCGGUGCCUCACACUUGUAAUCCUAGCACUUUGGGAGGUUGAGACAGGUGGAUCACUUGAGGCCAGGAAUUCGAGUCCAGACUGGCCAACAUGGUGAAACUCCAUGCCUACUAAAAAUACAAAAAUUAACCAGGUGUGGUGGCACACACCUGUAAUCUCAGCUACUCAGGAGGUCAAGACAGGAAAAUCACUUGAACCUGGGAGGUAGA